rnacentral:rRNA from 1 species
GACGAACGCUGGCGGCGUGCCUAAUACAUGCAAGUUGAGCGAUGAAGAUUGGUGCUUGCACCAAUUUGAAGAGCAGCGAACGGGUGAGUAACGCGUGGGGAAUCUGCCUUUGAGCGGGGGACAACAUUUGGAAACGAAUGCUAAUACCGCAUAACAACUUUAAACAUAAGUUUUAAGUUUGAAAGAUGCAAUUGCAUCACUCAAAGAUGAUCCCGCGUUGUAUUAGCUAGUUGGUGAGGUAAAGGCUCACCAAGGCGAUGAUACAUAGCCGACCUGAGAGGGUGAUCGGCCACAUUGAGACUGAGACACGGCCCAAACUCCUACGGGAGGCAGCAGGAGGGAGUCUUCGGCAAUGGACGAAAGUCUGACCGAGAAACGCCGCGUGAGUGAAGAAGGUUGUCGGAUCGUAAAACUCUGUUGGUAGAGAAGAACGUUGGUGAGAGUGGAAAGCUCAUCGAGUGACGGUAACUACCCAGAAAGGGACGGCUAACUACGUG